rnacentral:lncRNA from 1 species
UGUCAUGUAAUUUUUCAGAUGCUUGCAUGCAUCUUAUUUGAUGUUUUGAGAGGCCUGUGUGCCUCCUAAAAGGAGAUGUAAUUUAUUUUUAUUUUUAUUUUACAUCUGGUUGUAUUUCUGUGAUGUGAUGUACGUCAACGAUCAAGUCGAAGAUGAUGCAUGAGAUGAGCAGGGGUCUAAGCGGUUGAUGGCGAUUGGAUCAAGAGUUGGUCAAGGAUCGAAUCAAGGAGGCUUGGAACCAAUUCAAGAGUUGAAGAUAAGUUGAUCGAUUGACGUGCAUGUGCUUGUAAUACAACCUAACUAGAAUCCAUGAUCAUCACCUAUUUAAAGUUUAGCUUUAAUUAUUGCUGCGAUUAUAACUGCCUGCAAUGUGCCAUUUGCAUGUGAUGUGAAUGAGAGUCGGGUAGAUAGGUUUACAUGUGAUGU